UUUAUGUUAUUUUAUGCAUGCAGCCACAAAUAUUCAAGAUUGUAAUGCAGCAAAGUGCUUGGAAAGAAACACUCGGAAGGAAGAGUUACUAAUUUCCAAGCUAAGUCAUUGACAAAAAUAGGGCUGAAAUAAACAGCUAGUUUGACU